rnacentral:lncRNA from 1 species
GAAGGAGCUCGCCGGAGGUUGCGCAUCUCAUUCGCAUUCGGCCGUGGGUGGAGUCGCCGAUUUGAGGGCAGAUCGCCGCUCCAGUUCACGCUACAGUCAGAACUGCGACUCACGGUGACCCGUCGCCGACGCCGAGAAACUCCCUCGCCGCUUGCGCCCUGUAAAGGGAGGAAGAGGAGAGGUACUGCCACGAUUAUCAAUCCGGAGCAUUUGAUUUGAUUCAGCAUGCGGCUGAAGUCAGAUUACCGGCAGGUAACCUCGAUGCAUUCCCUGUCGAGAAGACCGACCGCACGGCCUCCGCUUUCUCCCAGGCUGCGCUCCGAGACGACAGGAAGCCGGCUCACUCCAUGAAGGUCCAUUAUUUUUUCAGCAGACAGGAGAUUCAUGCUGGGCGUCACCGCCUGCACCAGGCACCGGCGGCUUUCCGAGUAGCAGAAGUCGGACACCAAG